rnacentral:rRNA from 1 species
UACAGAGGGUGCAAGCGUUAAUCGGAAUUACUGGGCGUAAAGCGUGCGUAGACGGUUAUGUAAGUCAGAUGUGAAAUCCCCGGGCUCAACCUGGGAACUGCAUUUGUGACUGCAAGGCUGGAGUGCGGCAGAGGGGGAUGGAAUUCCGCGUGUAGCAGUGAAAUGCGUAGAUAUGCGGAGGAACACCGAUGGCGAAGGCAAUCCCCUGGGCCGGCACUGACGCUCAUGCACGAAAGCGUGGGGAGCAAACAGG